CGGUAAUUCCAGCUCCAAUAGUGUAUAUUAACGUUCCUGCAGUUAUUCGAUGCUCGUAGUUGGAUUUCUGGGGGUGGAGACAGGAGGGUGGCUAUUGUCACCGCCAGUCUUUUCCCUCGUCCGCCGGUCAACGGUGCUCGAGAUUGAGUUCUCGACGCCGGGCUCCGGCACUUUGAUUUAAUUCUCUUGAGCAAAUUAUAGUGUUUCAGGCAGGCGUGCGCCGGAAUACAUUAGCAUGGAAUAAUCUUUUGGACCGCGUGUGGGCUUGCCCACAUUCCUUAUUUGUUGGUUUCUCAUCUUAAGGACACGGAAUGAUUAAUAGGGAUAGUUGAGAGUUAUAUCUCACCAGGGGAGGCAUUAGUAUUUAGUUUCCAGAGGUGAAAUUCUUUGAAAUUCUUUAAGACUAACUUAUGCGAAAGCAUAUUUUUGCCAAGAAUGUUUUUAUUUUCUUAUCGAACAGAACGAAAGUUAGGGGAUCAAAGACGAUCAGAUACCGUCCUAGUCUUAACCAUAAACGUUGCCGACUAGGGAUCGGAGGGCGUGCACAUUCCGCCUUCGGCACCUUACGAGAAAUCAUAAGUAUUUUGGGUUCUGGGGGUAGUAUGGUCGCAAGGCUGAAACUUAAAGGAAUUGACGGAAGGGCACCACCAGGAGUGGAGCUUGCGGCUCAAUUUGACUCAACACGGGAAAUCUUACCAGGUCCAGACAUAGGAAGGAAAUUGACAGAUUGAUAGCUCUUUCUUGAUUCUAUGGGUUGAUUCGGUGGUGCAUGGCCGUUCUUAGUUGGUGGAGUGAUUUGUCUGGUUAAUUCCGAAUUUAUUAUAAAUACAAACGAACGGGACCUCAGCCUGCUAAAUAGUUACCUGUCUUUCUAUGUGCUUGCACAAACCGAGACUGGCUAACUUCUUAGAGGGACUUUGUGUGCAACCAGAAAGGAAGUUUGAGGCAAUAACAGGUCUGUGAUGCCCUUAGAUGUCCUGGGCCGCACGCGUGCUACACUGAUACGUACAACAAGGUAUACAUAUCUACUUGCUGCUCCGAAAUAGAUUUCAACUUGGCUAAAUCUCCAAUACGUAUCGUGCUGCGGAUAGAUCGUUGAUAAAUAAUUAUGGAUCUUGAAGGAGGAAUUCCUAGUAAGCGCAGGUCAUCAGCCUGCGCUGAUUACGUCCCUGCCCUUUGUACACACCGCCCGUCGCUCCUACCAAUUUCGAGCGGCUCGGUGAACCUUCCUUCUCUCGACUGCAUGGCAACAUGCGACGCACGAAGGAUUGUAAACCUGGUCGCUUAGAGGAAGGAGAAGUCGUAACAAGG
rnacentral:rRNA from 1 species